rnacentral:rRNA from 1 species
CCUACGGGAGGCAGCAGUCGAGAAUCAUUCACAAUGGGGGAAACCCUGAUGGUGCGACGCCGCGUGGGGGAAUGAAGGUCUUCGGAUUGUAAACCCCUGUCAUGUAGGAGCAAAUUAAAAAGAUAGUACCUCAUGAGGAAGAGUCUGCUAAAUCGGUUCCAGGAGCCGCGUUAAUACAGAGGUCUCAAGCGUUGUUCGGAAUCACUGGUCGUAAAGCGUGCGUUUGCGGUUUCGUAAGUCGUGUGUGAAAGGCGGGGGCUCAACCCGAGGACGGCACAUGAUACUGGGAGACUAGAGUAAUGGAGGGGGAACCGGAAUUCGCGGUGUAGCAGUGAAAUGCGUAGAUAUCGAGAGGAACACUCGUGGCGAAGGCAGGUUCCUGGACAUUAACUGACGUUGAGGCACGAAGGCGAGGGGAGCGAAAGGGAUUAGAUACACUAGUAGUC